CCAGACUCCUACGGGAGGCAGCAGUGAGGAAUAUUGGUCAAUGGCCGCAGGGCUGAACCAGCCAAGUCGCGUGAGGGAUGACGGUCCUAUGGAUUGUAAACCUCUUUUGUCAGGGAGCAAAGGGCGCCACGUGUGGCGUUUUGCGAGUACCUGAAGAAAAAGCAUCGGCUAACUCCGUGCCAGCAGCCGCGGUAAUACGGAGGAUGCGAGCGUUAUCCGGAUUUAUUGGGUUUAAAGGGUGCGUAGGCGGAAUAUCAAGUCAGCGGUAAAAAUUCGGGGCUCAACCCCGUCGUGCCGUUGAAACUGAUGUUCUUGAGUGGGCGAGAAGUAUGCGGAAUGCGUGGUGUAGCGGUGAAAUGCAUAGAUAUCACGCAGAACUCCGAUUGCGAAGGCAGCAUACCGGUGCACAACUGACGCUCAGGCACGAAAGCGUGGGUAUCGAACAGGAUUAGAUACCCCCGUACG
rnacentral:rRNA from 1 species